rnacentral:snoRNA from 24 species
UGGGUUGGACGCCCGCCAGCGGCGGUGGGAUGAAAAACCCGCCCGCGGCCGAGCUUACA